CCUACGGGAGGCAGCAGUGGGGAAUCUUGCACAAUGGGGGAAACCCUGAUGCAGCGAUGCCGCGUGAGUGAAGAAGGCCCUUGGGUUGUAAAACUCUUUCGUCGGGGAAGAAAAUGACUGUACCCGAAUAAGAAGGUCCGGCUAACUUCGUGCCAGCAGCCGCGGUAAUACGAAGGGACCUAGCGUAGUUCGGAAUUACUGGGCUUAAAGAGCUCGUAGGUGGUUAAAAAAGUUGAUGGUGAGAUCCCAAGGCUCAACCUUGGAACUGCCAUCAAAACUUUUUAGCUAGAGUGUGAUAGAGGUAAGUGGAAUUUCUAGUGUAGAGGUGAAAUUCGUAGAUAUUAGAAAGAACACCAAAAGCGAAGGCAACUUACUGGGUCACUACUGACACUGAGGAGCGAAAGCAUGGGUAGCGAGGAGGAUUAGAUACCCUCGUAGUCCAUGCCGUAAACGAUGUGUGCUAGACGUUGGAAAUAUAUUUUUCAGUGUCGCAGCGAAAGCAUUAAGCACACCGCCUGGGGAGUACGACCGCAAGGUUAAAACUCAAAUGAAUUGACGG
rnacentral:rRNA from 1 species